rfam:Candidatus Pacearchaeota archaeon CG1_02_31_27 cg1_0.2_scaffold_40_c, whole genome shotgun sequence.
UUCUGUCCUAGUUAAUUUGAAAAUUGGAUGCAGAGAACUACAUGCCUGUUAAUUAGCACAUUAUUUUACUUUAUUUUAAGUCAUGAAAUUCAACCACGACAAUUAGUAAUCUAAAUGAAACUUGAAGUGGUGGUGUUAUCUUGGUUAAUAGGCUAUAUUCC